GAAUGUAAGAUGAGAGAAAGUCCUGAGGCAGAGAAGUGGAGAGAAGUUGCUGCUUGAGCUUGAGAAAGAAUGGUGGCAGAGUACAUGCGUGGAAGUGCUACCAUAGCUGCUCUGAAAUCAGAGGAAAGUGGAAUUAUAAGAAGACCCCAUCUGGCAAGGCUCAUAAAGGAGAACAACUCUUAUGGAAUACAUCCAAGAUAUAUAUAUACGUCUUUGAAGAAAGACAUCACUCAACUGUGAAAGAUCACCAUGACCCCUGCUUUCAUUUCAUCAAAAAACUUAGUCCAUCAGCUCAGUUACCCGUUAGCCUUGCAUGGGAAUUGACUCAGAGCUUCUGCAAGAU